UACGGGGGGGGUAAGCGUUGUUCGGAAUUACUGGGCGUAAAGGGCUCGUAGGCGGCCAACUAAGUCAUACGUGAAAUCCCUCAGCUUAACUGGGGAACUGCGUGUGAUACUGGAUGGCUUGGAUUUGGGAGAGGGAUGCGGAAUUCCAGGUGUAGCGGUGAAAUGCGUAGAGACUCGGAAGAACACCAGUGGCGAAGGCGGCUACCUGGACGGGUACUGACGCUGCAGCGCGAAAGCUAGGGGAGCAAACAGG
rnacentral:rRNA from 1 species